rnacentral:rRNA from 1 species
AUGCCAAUAACCGUGGCAAAGAAGGAACAUUGUCACCACUUGGAUAUGAAAAUGUGGUCAGGAAGUUUUUUGGAGCGCACGAGGAUAGAAUAUACCAAAAAGCAAUUCAAGAAUAAGUGGGAUGUGCUGAAAAAAGAGUAUGCUGUUUGGAAGACAUUAACCCAAAAGGCAUCAGGCAUUGGGUUUGAUCCUGUUACCAAGACCAUUGCGGCUAGUGAUGAAUGGUGGGCAAAUGAGAUACAUAGAAAUGAACUUGCCGCCAAGUUUCGAUUUGCUCCACUAGAGGAUGAUGUCAAACUGAGUGCUAUAUUUGAUGAUAUUAGUGUGACAAAUGAGUACGCGAGGGCGGCACCACCCUCGUCUCAAGUUGAUGCAUCUCAAAUUCACAUUGAUGAUGAUGAUGUGGCUGGUUCAGGAUGUGAAAUAGAUGCUACUUUUUUGACACCUAACAAAGCUAAAGGUCGAAAGAAGAGAUCAUGUCCUUAUUCACCUAGUCCUGCGAUGGUGCAAAAGAUUGCAAAAGAUAGUGAUGAUAGAAUGCAAUUUAAGCGUAUUGCUGACCUUUGGGAAAAGAGGGAGACUAGCCGCAAUUCGGCGACAUCUGAAAUGAAGGAGGAUCCUGUGAGAGAUGAGAUUAAGGAGAUGAAGGACAUGGUGGUGAAUGAUGGAGGUAAACCUGGAAGUGAAGUGUAUUUUCAUGCUCUAGAACUCUUUACGAAGAAGGAACAUCGUGAUGUCUUCAUUGCACUAAAGGAGGAAGAUUCAACUGUGAGGCUUGAAUGGAUCAACAGGGCAUGU